rnacentral:rRNA from 1 species
AUUGAACGCUGGCGGCAGGCUUAACACAUGCAAGUCGAACGAGCGGCGGACGGGUGAGUAAUGUCUGGGAAACUGCCUGAUGGAGGGGGAUAACUACUGGAAACGGUCGCUAAUACCGCAUACCAUCAGAUGUGCCCAGAUGGGAUUAGCUAGUAGGUGGGGUAAUGGCAUACCUAGGCGACGAUCCCUAACUGGUCUGAGAGGAUGAUAAGCAACACUGGAACAGAGACACGGUCCAGACGCCUACGGGAGGCAGCAGUGGGGAAUAUUGGACAAUGGGCGCAAGCCUGAUGCAGCCAUGCCGCGUGUGUGAAGAAGGCCUUCGGGUUGUAAAGCACUUUCAGCGAGGAGGCGUUACUCACAGAAGAAGCACCGGCUAACUCCGUGCCAGCAGCCGCGGUAAUAC